CAGGCAUUCCAUCGACCAUUUUAAAAAUUAAACACAGAAGUUGUAAAACAGUUCAGCCAUUCUUUCAGGAAAAGCAAAACACAGAAGCGGAAAUAUUCAAUGUGUUCAACGGAAGGUUUAAAGGACAGCCUGAGGAAGGAUGCCACCUGAUCAAUUCUUCAAGAAAAUAAGGCUUCAAGUACCUAGCAGUAAAAGUGGAUCCGUGCUGAAAGUAGUAAAAGUUCGGAGUUGAUAGUGAAACAACAUUUCUAGCCAUAACAAUUUAAGAAAUAGGGGUCAAGCUUUUGUUUGGAGAGGCUUGUUAUGCCUUCCCUUUGAGGACAACUGAAUUUUUUUGCACUUAUUAUGUGGUUGAUUCUUCUCAAAUUUUCUGUUUAAUACUUGCAAUGGAUUUUAGUGGCAUAUUUUGGAAAUAGAAUUUGCAAGAUUGACAAGUGAAGAAAUAUGGUAAAACUAUUGCUUGGAGAGCCUUGGAAGGCACUUAUGAUGAACCAAGCUUCUUUGAGGAGUUUACAUCCUCGGAAGAUGUCCAGCCGCACAUGAAGUUAUCAACACUUUGGAUCUUACAGCUUCAACAACUGGAUCAUCAUUCUCAAUAUUCCUAGAAUCAAAAGCCUAUUCUCGCAGGAUCUUUCUAAGGUUCUUGAUCUCCAAACUUUUUCCAUCCAUCUCGGAGUGUCUACUAAUAGACUUGCCAGCUUGUAGAAAUUCUCGCAGGUCUUUUCUUGCUCUUUUUGGAGUUGCACAUUUUGGUUUCCAUGGCUAUAGGUCUUAACAAGCUUAUCGUCAAUUAGUACUUCAAGGUUAUAAAAUAUUAGUUUCAAUUCUCUUCUUGAGUGUCCUGUUAUGUUUUAAACCUUCAUAUCCAUGUUUUUCUUCAUCAUUAACUGAAACAUAAUUCAGUAAUAUUCUAGAAAUGGGCAUCGACUUGUAAAUUGCCAAUAGAAAGGAUUAUAAAUAUUACUUUGUGGAACAAGCUCAUUAGAAAAUUCUCAACCACAAAAAUCUAAUAGUUGACUUGGUCCAGUAAGCAAAUAUGAAUGGGAUAUUGCUAUUGACAAAUCACGACAACAUGGAUACUACUCUUGUGUGAUCUAUGCUAGUGAGGACUUCUCAUGCUUCUCCUUUCCAUAGUACAGCUUCUUCAGAGGUGCAUGACAGAACAUAAAAUACUGCUUGCAUAGAUUUUGCCUAAAUUUUUCUGCCUUUAAAUGUAAUGUUGUUAUUUGAGUUCAAAGACAUUUUGUAUUGAAAGGUUGACAUAUUAUUCUGUUUUUUUAAUCUUGACUAGCAAUUGUAAGACAAGCACAAUUUCCUGAAUUUAAUCAAAUGUUACCUGAUCCCUGUA